AUUGAACGCUGGCGGCAGGCCUAACACAUGUAAGUCGAGCGGAUGAAGGGAGCUUGCUCCUGGAUUCAGCGGCGGACGGGUGAGUAAUGCCUAGGAAUCUGCCUGGUAGUGGGGGAUAACGUCCGGAAACGGGCGCUAAUACCGCAUACGUCCUGAGGGAGAAAGUGGGGGAUCUUCGGACCUCACGCUAUCAGAUGAGCCUAGGUCGGAUUAGCUAGUUGGUGGGGUAAAGGCCUACCAAGGCGACGAUCCGUAACUGGUCUGAGAGGAUGAUCAGUCACACUGGAACUGAGACACGGUCCAGACUCCUACGGGAGGCAGCAGUGGGGAAUAUUGGACAAUGGGCGAAAGCCUGAUCCAGCCAUGCCGCGUGUGUGAAGAAGGUCUUCGGAUUGUAAAGCACUUUAAGUUAGGAGGAAGGGCAGUAAGUUAAUACCUUGCUGUUUUGACGUUACCAACAGAAUAAGCACCGGCUAACUUCGUG
rnacentral:rRNA from 1 species